UAAGUACAACGUUAACACUAUGGUUUAUGUUGACUUGGAAUCGGAUAUUAUGACUGAAUACUUCUAUAUUGGCCACGUUGCUUAUAACGGUUUUCAGAUUUGUCGAAAGAUAAAAGAAAAUAAUAGCAUAAUAUCUGAAUAUGUCGGGAGUCUCUAACGGAAUUCUUUGUGGGCACAUGCCAGUGUCACUGUUUCAGUUGAUCAGCUGCCAUGCAUGUUAUCAUCAAGAGCUAACCAAAUUAUGUAAGUCGUGAUUUUACUGUGGGCCAACUCAUUUGAUGCGUCAUUACAUUUGAGCCAAUAGAUGCAUAGAAUUUCAUUCCAAGUACUUUUGUUCCAAAACGAGAUUUGAUGACAUGGUCUAACUGAGGACGUGGUCCUUGACAGAGUGGAAUGUGAGAACAGGAUUCGUGUAGUGGACGCCAAUUAGUUGGGAUAAGGCUUGCAUGAUGAUGAUGAUGAUGAUGAUGAGCUUUGUUCCAAACGAUGUUAUCUUACUGGAGGGAGACAAGGCCCGCUUGCAGAAACCAGGAAACUAGGGAGAUCAACUGCUAAAUUAGCUAAAAAUCGUCAGCCAUUAUAUUUGCACCGCAAGGGACAUGAAAAGUGUGGGCCCAUAUAAAAUUAAAACCUUCUGAGUCAUCAAGGAUCAACCCAGAACUCUAUGAUGCAGCCAAGAAACUCUAUGAUGCAGUCGAGAAGUUUUGUAGCCUUUCUUAAUCUACGGCACCUCACGGAAGGGUUCAACCCUCAAAAAGCUGUCCAGUGUCCACCUGCAACAUUUUAGCUAGGCAGGGAUUGCAACGGUGACAUGUAGCACUGGUCAUAUGACAAAGCUGCUCCGGUAAUGGCACGAACCCUGUAGAAAAUAAAGAGGCAGAAGGCAAAAUGGUAAAACACAAGAAACUCUGUUAUAGCAUUUAUUCUGGUUACAUCUUCUAUCUUUUCCAAACUUCUAAUGCAUUCAUAACAAGCUUCCUAAAUGUAACACCAUGAAGAAAACUGCCACCAGCAGAUCCCUUACAGCUUCAAGGUCAAGUCUAACUGUCUCGAGCUGGCCUCGUUGUCACCCUCCUCACUGUCGGAACCAUCAGCACUCUCACACCCACACCAGCACGUUUUCUUCAGCUCUGGACAUGUCACUGUCGCCUCCGAGUCAUCCUCACUGUCUUCAGGAGCCCUGAGUUCCAUUUGUUUCAGGAGAUUCUUUUCUUUCUGGGUGCCAAAUAUCCUUUCCAUUUGAUCUCGGUACACCUGCGCAUUGUCAUGUGGUUGCCCAACAUGUGGCCCCACUGGAUCUGACCCACGCCUAAGUUCACCGAGCCUGAGUCCAGGCUUAAGCAGGGACCCAUGUCGAGGCCUGGGCCCGCAUCCAGUCACAACCACAUUUUCAGAUCCUCGGCCAGAUUGGUGUAUGGAUGCAUGUGGGACUGCAUGAGCACCCCCGGAUAUGUGUUGUUCAUAUUCCCUUCUCAAAGCAUCUCUUUCAAUCUGGCAUGCCACUACCCCAUGCUCUGACCCAUGGCCAGAUUGGUGCAUGGAUAUAUGUGGGGACGGUUGAGCAACCCUCUGUGUGGGAGGUCGAUAUUCUCUUCUCAAAGCAUCCCUUUCAACUCGGUGUGCCACCACCCCAUGUUCAAAUCCGCGGCCAGAUUGGUGCAUGGAUACAUGUAGGGGUGGAUGAGCACCUCUGAGUAUGUGCGGUUCGUAUUCCCUUCUCAAAGCGUUCCUUUCAAUCCGGCGUGCUGCUUCCCCAUGUUCAGAUCUACAGACAGUUUGGUGCAUGGAUGCAUGUGGGGGCACAUGAGCACCCCUGUGUGCGCGCGGUUGAUAUUCCCUUCUCAAAGCCUCCCUUACAAUCUGGUGCGCCACAGCCCCAAGUUCAGACCCAUGCCCAGAUUGAUGCACAAAUACAUGUGGGGGCGCAUGAGCACCCCCAUGUAUCUGUGGUUCAUAUUCCCUUCUCAAAGCAUCCCUUUCAAUCUGGUUCGCCACAACCCCAUGUUCAAAUCCAUGGCCGGAUUGGUGCAUGGAUAGAUGUGGGGGCGCCUGAGCAUGCCUGUACGCUUGCGGCUCAUACGCCCUUCUCAAAGCUUCCCUUUCCAUCCGGUGCGCGUUCUGGUGGCCGCGUAAGGCCUGCGAUGUAAAGAAGGUUUUCUUGCAGUAGGAACAUGUAUAGAACAGGUCCCACAUGUGCCCCUGCCGAGCUCCACUUCCCAUCGCCAGCCACCCAUCCUGGUCAGGCCCAGGAAUGGAGCUGUUUCCAUAGCCAUCAGGCCCAGGAGCAGAGCUGUAGCCAUUGCCAUAGCCGUAGACGUAGCCGUCUGAGCUGGAACCAUGGCCUACAUGGUUUUGCAUGGUGGGGAGGAAAUGCAAAAGAAAGAAAGGGGAAGGACUGAAAAGAGGAGAAAGAUGGACUAGUAGCUCUUGCCUUAAGGGGUUCUUAUAGGAAUUAAUGAGGGGGUUUUGGCCUCUUUUUUACCACUUGGAGUGGCAAGGAUAUGGAGAUAAGGGUCAUGUGAAUGAAAAAAUGACAUGGGUCGAUAGGUAAGAAAGAUCAAUGACAUGGGUUAAAAAGGGUGGGGUAUGAAAAGAUUUCAUUGGAGAACUGCGUUUAUUUUGAAAUAGGGUUUUGUUAGUGGUGUGGCUCAGUACAUGGGCCUUUGCAUUAAAGAGCAACAAGAGGAAAAUAGAAGAGUUAUUUUCUGGAGAUAUUGCUGUUUGUCUUAAUGAAAAUGCAUGAAUAGGUUCUAAAUAUGGAAAAGCCAGCUUGGGUUAGUUAUUGUUAUUUUUUCUCAUUUUCUUCAGGUUUUUAAUUUUGAUAACUUAGACAACAUUAAUACUAUAUUUAUGAUUUGAAAAUAUCAUCA